GUGGCCUAUUAAAUUGAACGGAGGGAGUAUUUGUUUUUUUUUUUUUUUUUUGGUUCAUUGAUGGGCGUCUGAUUGAUGCAAAGCUAAGAAGGAAUAGUUAACUGGUACAAUGAUUCUUCAAGACAUCCAAGAUGAACGCCGCCACUGCUAGGGUUUGGACUCAGUUCUUUUUUGGUCUUUGAUCGUCGUGGUUUGUCGUCGGUUCUCGCUUGCUGCCGGUGGCUAUGGCAGCCUCUUCCUCUUCUCACAAUCAUAACUCUCAUCGCGAAUUUACUCCACUCCAUGCUUUUCAAGGACCGCGUUUUCAUGAGCCGUCUACGGAUGAUAAACAGG
rnacentral:lncRNA from 1 species